GUUUGCUAGUGGCGACCCAAUAAAUACCGGAUCUCCAAAAGCGCUGACAAUUUGCAGACCGGGCCUGGGAGUUAUAGAAAUCACUUCCGAAAUUGGUGGGAGGAAAAAGCGAGGUAUGGAGACACGGGGGCGUAUCCCUCUUCCAGAAUUCACGUUCCUUCCUUUGAUGUCUCAAUACAGAUGAGUCUCUCAAGGAAGGACCCAAGAGAUACUCUCUCCCUACCUCCAUGAGGAAAAUGGAACCCAGGGAGAGCAGCAAGCUGAUAGCAGAAUCAGGAUCACAAUGCAGAUUGCAUUGCUUUGCUUGUGAGGAGACCCCUUCAAGACUGCUGAAAAGAAGCCAUCACAUGCCCUUGGCCAGAAGCCUGGCAUAGUGAAAUUCCGAGAGGAUGCAGCAAGAAGGCAGCCAUCUGCAAGCCAUGAAGGGGGCCCUCAUCAGAACCUGACCCUGCUGGCACUCUGAUCUCUGACUUCCCAGCCCCCAAAACUGUGAGAAAUAAAUGUCUGUUGUUU
rnacentral:lncRNA from 10 species